GAUGAAGAACGUAGCGAAAUGCGAUACGUAAUGUGAAUUGCAGAAUUCAGUGAAUCAUCGAAUCUUUGAACGCAUAUUGCGCUCUUUGGUAUUCCGAAGAGCAUGCUUGUUUGAGUAUCAGUAAACACCUCAACCUCUUCUUGAUUUUUCAAAAGGAGGGUGGACUUGAGCUAUCCCAACAACCUUUACCGGUCGGCGGGCGGCUUGAAAUGCAGGUGCAGCUGGACUUUUAUCUGAGCUAAAAGCAUAUCUAUUUAGUCCUCGUCAAACAGGCUUAUUACUUUUGCUGCAGCUAACAUAAAGGAUAAUUGUCCUCUUUGCUGACUGAUGCAGGAUUUUACGACACUUUAUGUGUUGUUCAACUCGAUCUCAAAUCAAGUAAGACUACCCGCUGAACUUAAGCAUAUCAAUAAGCGGAGGA
rnacentral:misc_RNA from 1 species